rnacentral:rRNA from 1 species
CAAANGUAUGCUUUGGAAACUGUUAGACUNGAGUGCAGAAGGGGAGAGUGGAAUUCCAUGUGUAGCGGUGAAAUGCGUAGGUAUAUGGAGGANCACCGGUGGCGAAAGCGGCUCUCUGGUCUGUCACUGACGCUGAGGCUCGAAAGCGUGGGUAGCGAACAGGAUUAGAUACCCUGGUAGUNCACGCCGUAAACGCUGAGUGCUAGGUGUUAGGUCCUUUCCGGGACUUAGUGCCGACGCUAACGCAUUAAGCACUCCGCCUGGGGAGUACGACCGCAAGGUUGAAACUCAAAGGAAUUGACGGGGGCCCGCACAAGCGGUGGAGCAUGUGGUUUAAUUCGAAGCAACGCGAAGAACCUUACCAGGUCUUGACAUCCCGAUGCCCGCUCUAGAGAUAGAGUUUUUCUUCGGAACAUCGGAGACAGGUGGUGCAUGGUUGUCGUCAGCUCGUGUCGUGAGAUGUUGGGUUAAGUCCCGCAACGAGCGCAACCCUUAUUGUUAGUUGCCAUCAUUAAGUUGGGCACUCUAGCGAGACUGCCGGUAAUAAACCGGAGGAAGGUGGGGAUGACGUCAAAUCAUCAUGCCCCUUAUGACCUGGGCUACACACGUGCUACAAUGGUUGGUACAACGAGUCGCAAGCCGGUGACGGCAAGCUAAUCUCUGAAAGCCAAUCUCAGUUCGGAUUGUAGGCUGCAACUCGCCUACAUGAAGUCGGAAUCGCUAGUAAUCGCGGAUCAGCACGCCGCGGUGAAUACGUUCCCGGGCCUUGUACACACCGCCCGUCACACCACGAGAGUUUGUAACACCCAAAGUCGGUGAGGUAACCA